ACCCUGGUUGAUUAAUGGUAAAUCGCCCCCAAUCCAUGAACUGUUUGCAAGAGAAUGAUGUGGGAGACGGAGGUUCGAAUCCCCCCUGGGGCA